GAUGAAAAUAUGGGUCACCACCACUUGUUCUCAGUUACUCAUCCCACCCCACCCACCGAUUCAUCUCUUACACUUGUCUCCCAAUCCUUCUAAUCUCCCAAUCCUUCUAAUCUCCCAAUCCUUCUUUCCAUCCUACUCCCAUACCUUAUCCCCAAACCUCAAAUUAUAUCCUGUUCAUGCAGCCGAAUCGGUAGGCGGGCACAUGGUCAAAGAUCUAACAGGAUACACACAAAUAACAC